CUGCAGCCAAUUAAGCCGACCAGCUUUCUCUCAUGGUGGAUCCUGGUGUGCAAUGGCUGCAUACAGCAGCCUCCUGGGUAAUGUAUGCUGCCUAUUUCUUGUAUAGGUUGCUCUAAGGGGCCCAGGAGACAAAA
ensembl:snoRNA Gm22362 small nucleolar RNA SNORA70